AUUGAACGCUGGCGGCAGGCCUAACACAUGCAAGUCGAACGAGUGGCGGACGGGUGAGUAAUGUCUGGGAAACUGCCCGAUGGAGGGGGAUAACUACUGGAAACGGUAGCUAAUACCGCAUACCAUCGGAUGUGCCCAGAUGGGAGUCGCUAGUAGGUGGGGUAAAGGCUCACCUAGGCCACGAUCCCUAGCUGGUCUGAGAGGAUGACGAGCCGCACUGGAACUGAGACACGGUCCGUACUCCUACGGGGGGCAGCAGGGGGAAAGUUUGCACAAGGGGCGCAAGCAGGAUGCAGCCAUGCCGCGUGUAUGAAGAAGGCCUUCGGGUUGUAAAGUACUUUCAGCGAGGAGGCGUUACUCGCAGAAGAAGCACCGGCUAACUCCGUGCCAGCAGCCGCGGUAAUAC
rnacentral:rRNA from 1 species